rnacentral:rRNA from 1 species
UCUGGAAACUNUCUGACUUGAGUGCAGAAGGGGAGAGUGGAAUUCCAUGUGUAGCGGUGAAAUGCGUAGAUAUAUGGAGGANCACCAGUGGCGAAAGCGGCUCUCUGGUCUGUCACUGACGCUGAGGCUCGAAAGCGUGGGUAGCGAACAGGAUUAGAUACCCUGGUAGUCCACGCCGUAAACGAUGAGUGCUAGGUGUUAGGCCCUUUCCGGGGCUUAGUGCCGGAGCUAACGCAAUAAGCACUCCGCCUGGGGAGUACGACCGCAAGGUCGAAACUCAAAGGAAUUGACGGGGGCCCGCACAAGCGGUGGAGCAUGUGGUUUAAUUCGAAGCAACGCGAAGAACCUUACCAGGUCUUGACAUCCCGAUGCUAUUCUUAGAGAUAGGAAGUUACUUCGGUACAUCGGAGACAGGUGGUGCAUGGUUGUCGUCAGCUCGUGUCGUGAGAUGUUGGGUUAAGUCCCGCAACGAGCGCAACCCUUAUUGUUAGUUGCCAUCAUUAAGUUGGGCACUCUAGCGAGACUGCCGGUAAUAAACCGGAGGAAGGUGGGGAUGACGUCAAAUCAUCAUGCCCCUUAUGACCUGGGCUACACACGUGCUACAAUGGUCGGUACAACGAGUUGCGAGCCGGUGACGGCAAGCUAAUCUCUGAAAGCCGAUCUCAGUUCGGAUUGGAGGCUGCAACUCGCCUCCAUGAAGUCGGAAUCGCUAGUAAUCGCGGAUCAGCACGCCGCGGUGAAUACGUUCCCGGGCCUUGUACACACCGCCCGUCACACCACGAGAGUUUGUAACACCCGAAGUCGGUGAGGUAACCUUUUAGGGGCC